AUCCACAGCUUGCAAAAUUAGGAUAAGACGUGGCUAUAUAGAGCUAUAUUGUUCCUGCUUCUAAAAGAGACUACUUCAGUUAAUGCCUCAGAGGGCAACUUUCCUCAAAGGAAAAAAGUUGCCAUAAAUUCUACCAAUUAGGGAACUGCAGUGCCUUCCCCUUGAGUGCUGGAUAAUUGGACAGGUGAAAACAGUAUGGUGCCAUCAAAUGAAGGCACAUCUGAGUCAUCCUGAGCUUUUGUUCACCAGCUUGCAUAGGACUGUAUCAUAACAUAACUGCCUUAAAGAUUGGCUCACUUUUCAGUAAUCCUGCAUUUGUUGAUGGGGAAAAGAAUCUCUGUUGGGGAAGAUGCUGCAUCCUACAGCUACUGAACUGAAAUAAAUAAGGUAACUAGAGAACUUAAGGUUACUGAGUGAGAUUGUUUAUUUUCUGAAGAUUAAGGUUACAUAUCAUCUCCUUAGUCAUAGUUCGUGGGUUCUCUCUCUUUUAUCUCAGGUCCUGCAAGUUAUGAUAGCUGAGAAAUAAAUGUGCAGCAAACCUAUGGGAAUCUCCUAAAAUCUUGACAUUAAAUUAUAGUGGAAAAAUCCUUGCAUGCACAACCUUUGCAUGUCUUGUCUAGGCAAGUACACAUUUUGGAUGGGAGCUGAUCAAAGCCACUACUUAUAAAGAAUGGAUAGAGGAGUACUGUGGGUAUCUGUGCAUGCAACUGUUUGCUAGAGUAAGUGGUUUUGAUUUUUUUUUUUCUUUCUAAGCAGUCUUGCAUCUUUUCAGCACUGCCGUGUUGAGGCUCUUUGAGGAAGUCGAACUCUCUGGCAGCUUCAGGGGCAUGAGGCCAGCUGAGUUUCAGAUCCCUUCAGAGCUACAUUUGGGAUGGAGUUUGUGGCAUUUCUGCAAGUCAGAACAGACAGUUAAUCAGCUAAUUUCAAAUAACUUUGCGCAUCAUCACUGGCCAUUGACCAUCUUAAGCAGAGCUCAGAGAUGACAGAAUCACACAAAAUUUCCAUUUUGUAACUUAUGCUUGAGACCUGAAAUCCACCAUGAUCUCCUUCUAUUUCUCUUCCAAAGCUUGCAGAAAGACUGUCAAGCAAUAAAAGACUAAGAGACUGAUCA
rnacentral:lncRNA from 1 species